CCUAAAAGUAUGUUUUGAAUUUCAAAUUGUGUUGGUGGUCUGAUGUACUAAAUAAAGUAAAUACAAUCCUAUAGCAGCAGGAACUGGCUUCUGGCAAUUUUUCAAUUGUUUGUUUUCUUUUAGACUUAGAAUAUGAAAGGCUAAAAACACUAAAGACAUUCAAAAUAAAUCCUGGCGAACAACAAACAAAACUAGGAGAUCGCAUUCCGACACGGAACUUGAGAACAGCGAUUAAUGUCAUUCAUUUUCUAACCACAGAAUCCAGAGUACUCGGGAAGAAUGUGCAUCCAAGAUUUGAAAGCAAUUAGUUUGUUAGUGCAAUGUAUUACAUGGUUACAAACUUUAGCCUUUAGCCUAUUGCAAAGAUACUGUAGAGAAAAUAACUGGUUAUAAAUGUGUUAAGUACCACAAUUCGCAGCUUUGUUGUUGCAACAACACUUCAACAUUUCAGUGUCAGAUAGUCACAUAGGUUGAGAAACACAAGGGGGCUAAGAGACAAAAAGGAGAGAGUAGAAGAGACAAGGUGUUACAAGACAGCACAUUAAGACAUACAAAUGGGUAGAGACACACAGGGGGUUAAGAGACAUAAAGGAGGUAAAAGGCAGAAACAGAUGUGACGUAACAAACAAAUGAGGUAAGAGACA